GGGUUGUCAUGCCAAUGGCACUGCCCGGUAGCUAAAUGCGGAAGAGAUAAGUGCUGAAAGCAUCUACGCACGAAACUUGCCCUGAGAUGAGUUCUCCCUGAGACUUUAAGUCUCCUGAAGGAACGUUAACGACGAUGACGUUGAUAGGCCGGGUGUGUCCGCACAGCGAUGCGUUGAGCUAACCGGUACUAAUGAACCGUGAGGCUUAACCUUACAACGCCGAAG
rnacentral:rRNA from 1 species